AUUGAACGCUGGCGGCAUGCCUUACACAUGCAAGUCGAACGGCAGCACGGGAGCAAUCCUGGUGGCGAGUGGCGAACGGGUGAGUAAUAUAUCGGAACGUGCCCGGUCGUGGAGGAUAACGUAGCGAAAGCUACGCUAAUACCGCAUACGAUCUACGGAUGAAAGCGGGGGGAUCGCAAGACCUCGCGCGAUUGGAGCGGCCGAUAUCAGAUUAGGUAGUUGGUGAGGUAAAGGCUCACCAAGCCGACGAUCUGUAGCUGGUCUGAGAGGACGACCAGCCACACUGGGACUGAGACACGGCCCAGACUCCUACGGGAGGCAGCAGUGGGGAAUUUUGGACAAUGGGCGCAAGCCUGAUCCAGCAAUG
rnacentral:rRNA from 1 species